UUCUAUGAUGAACCCAGAUAGGGACAACUGAUGCUCAGCAUUUGGUGAGACCUUGGGAGACAUUUUAGUAGAUGCGUCUCUUAUCUGAGA
rnacentral:snoRNA from 1 species